UGCCCUCAGUGGCCAACGCGGCGUGGCCGGCAUUGAUGGUGGCGCAGUUCCUGUUCUGCUUCGCGAUGGUGGUGAC
rnacentral:tRNA from 1 species